GGCCUUGUAGCUCAACAGAAUAGAGCAUCUGCCUACGAAGCAGCAGGUUACUGGUUUGAAUCCAGUCGAGGCCA
rnacentral:tRNA from 3 species